UGGAGUCGUUGUUGAAAUACCACUCUGAUCGGAUUGAGCAUCUAACCUUGGCCCAUGAUCUGGGUUGGGGACAGUGCCUGGUGGGUAGUUUAACUGGGGCGGUUGCCUCCCAAAAUGUAACGGAGGCGCCCAAAGGUUCCCUCAGCCUGGUUGGCAAUCAGGUGGUGAGUGUAAGUGCACAAGGGAGCUUGACUGUGAGAGAGACAUCUCGAGCAGGGACGAAAGUCGGGACUAGUGAUCCGGCACCUACUUGUGGAUGUGGUGUCGCUCAACGGAUAAAAGGUACCCCGGGGAUAACAGGCUGAUCUUCCCCAAGAGUCCAUAUCGACGGGAUGGUUUGGCA
rnacentral:rRNA from 1 species